AUACGGAGGAUCCGAGCGUUAUCCGGAUUUAUUGGGUUUAAAGGGAGCGUAGGCGGACGCUUAAGUCAGUUGUGAAAGUUUGCGGCUCAACCGUAAAAUUGCAGUUGAUACUGGGUGUCUUGAGUACAGUAGAGGCAGGCGGAAUUCGUGGUGUAGCGGUGAAAUGCUUAGAUAUUACGAAGAACUCCGAUUGCGAAGGCAGCUUGCUGGACUGUAACUGACGCUGAUGCUCGAAAGUGUGGGUAUCAAACAGGAUUAGAUACCCUGGUAGUCCACACAGUAAACGAUGAAUACUCGCUGUUUGCGAUAUACAGUAAGCGGCCAAGCGAAAGCGUUAAGUAUUCCACCUGGGGAGUACGCCGGCAACGGUGAAACUUAAAGGAAUUGACGGGG
rnacentral:rRNA from 1 species